AGAGUUUGAUCAUGGCUCAGGACGAACGCUGGCGGCGUGCUUAACACAUGCAAGUCGAGCGAUGAAGUUUCUUCGGAAAUGGAUUAGCGGCGAACGGGUGAGGAACACGUGAAGAAUCUGCCCUCCACUUUGGGAUAACACCGGGAAACCGGUGCUAAUACCGAAUAUUGAAACAUAAGUGGCAUCACUGAGUUUUGAAAGAAUUUCGGUGGAGGAUGACUUCGCGGCCUAUCAGCUAGUUGGUGAGGUAAUGGCUCACCAAGGCAACGACGGGUAGCCGGCCUGAGAGGGCGACCGGCCACACUGGGACUGAGACACGGCCCAGACUCCUACGGGAGGCAGCAGUGGGGAAUAUUGGGCAAUGGAGGAAACUCUGACCCAGCGACGCCGCGUGCGGGAUGAAGGCCUUCGGGUUGUAAACCGCUUUCAGUAGGGAAGAAGCGAAAGUGACGGUACCUACAAAAGAAGCACCGGCUAACUAUGUGCCAGCAGCCGCGGUAAUACAUAGGGUGCAAGCGUUGUCCGGAAUUAUUGGGCGUAAAGAGCUCGUAGGUCGUUUGUUACGUCGGAUGUGAAAACCUGAGGCUCAACCUCAGGCCUGCAUUCGAUACGGGCAAACUAGAGUUUGGUAGGGGAGACUGGAAUUCC
rnacentral:rRNA from 1 species